UCUAAACCCUAUACCAAAGCCAUUGGAAUACCUGGAUAUGAUGCUACUGUAUGUGUACAGAAAUUGCAAAGGGUUUUUUUCUCAUAAGGGACUUGUGUAU